rnacentral:rRNA from 1 species
UAACACAUGCAAGUCGAACGAGCGAGAGAUGAAACCUAGUGAUUCUCGAGCGAGUGGCGGACGGGUGAGUAACGCGUGGGUAACCUGCCUUACAGAGGGGGAUAACAGUCUGAAAAGACUGCUAAUACCGCAUAAGCACACAGUACCGCAUGGUACAGGGUGAAAAGAUUUAUCACUGUAAGAUGGACCCGCGUCUGAUUAGCCAGUUGGCAGGGUAACGGCCUACCAAAGCGACGAUCAGUAGCCGACCUGAGAGGGUGAUCGGCCACAUUGGGACUGAGACACGGCCCAAACUCCUACGGGAGGCAGCAGUGGGGGAUAUUGCACAAUGGAGGAAACUCUGAUGCAAGCGACGCCGCGUGAGUGAAGAAGUAUUUCGGUAUGUAAAGCUCUAUCAGCAGGGAAGAUAAUGACAGUACCUGACCAAGAAGCCCCGGCUAACUACGUGCCAGCCGCGGC